UAUCUCUGUAGAGUCUGCAUAUCAAUAAGCGGAGGAAAAGAAACUAACAAGGAUUCCCUUAGUAACGGCGAGUGAAGCGGGAAGAGCUCAAAUUUGAAAUCUUCAAGGUUCUACCUUGACGAAUUGUAGUUUAAAGAAGUGUUUUCUGUUAGAUGAGUAGCAAAAGUUCCUUGGAAUGGGACAUCAUAGAGGGUGAGAAUCCCGUAUUUGGUUAUUCAUUCUAGCUUUGUGAUACACUUUCAAAGAGUCGGAUUGUUUGGGAAUGCAGUCCAAAAUGGGUGGUAAAUUUCAUCUAAAGCUAAAUAUUGGCGAGAGACCGAUAGCGAACAAGUACCGUGAGGGAAAGAUGAAAAGAACUUUGAAAAGAGAGUUAAACAGUACGUGAAAUUGUCAAAAGGGAAGCGUUUGACACCAGUGUUGUUUUUCCGAAAAUCAAUUACGAAUGGCUUGAUUUUGUGUUGUAUUGACCUUAUCAGCUUUCUUCACUUUUUUCGAGUCUUUCUUAAUGCACUUUUCGGUUAACAAGUCAACAUCAAUUUCUUUUGUUGUAAAAGAGUAGUUCGGAAGGUGGCUUUCUUUUCGGAGAAAGUGUUUAUAGCCCUAUACUUCUACAAUCGGAGAGAUUGAGGUCUGCAGCGUAGAUCCUUCGGGGUUAGAUACACUUGUGCUAAGUUGUAGCUUUUCAUAGACAACUUGUUGACUAUGUUUAGUCAUGUAGCUUACUCGUAGUGCUAUUUUACCUACGCUUAGGAUGUUGAAGACUCUACAGAGAU
rnacentral:rRNA from 1 species